rnacentral:rRNA from 1 species
AUUGAACGCUGCGGCCAGGUUUACCCCUGCCAAUCGAACGAGGGGCGGAGGGGGGGGUAAUUUUGGGGAAACUGCCUGAUGGAGGGGGAUACCUACUGGAAACGUUAGCUAAUACCGCAUAUCACCAGAUGUGCCCAGAUGGGUUUGACUAGUAGGUGGGGUAAUGGCUCACCUAGGCGACGAUCCCUAGCUGGUCUGAGAGGAUGACCAGCCACACUGGGACUGAGACACGGCCCAGACGCCUACGGGAGGCAGCAGUGGGGAAUAUUGCACAAUGGGCGCAAGCCUGAUGCAGCCAUGCCGCGUGUAUGAAGAAGGCCUUAGGGUUGUAAAGUACUUUCAGUCGGGAGGCGUUACCCACAGAAGAAGCACCGGCUAACUCCGUGCCAGCAGCCGCGGUAAUAC